GAUGAAGAACGCAGCGAAAUGCGAUACUUGGUGUGAAUUGCAGAAUCCCGUGAACCAUCGAGUCUUUGAACGCAAGUUGCGCCCGAAGCCAUUAGGCCGAGGGCACGCCUGCCUGGGCGUCACACGUCGUUGCCCCCCCAUCUACUCCUUCGGGAUUGCGGGGGGCGGAUGAUGACCUCCCGUGCGCCACGCCGCGCGGUUGGCAUAAAUGCCAAGUCCUCGGCGACGCACGCCACGACAAUCGGUGGUUGCGAAACCUCGGUUGCCCGUCGUGUGCGGUCGUCGCGCAUCGAGGGCUCGAAAAAAUUGCCGGGUUCCGGCUCGGCUUUCAACGCGACCCCAGGUCAGGCGGGGUUACCCGCUGAAUUUAAGCAUAUCAAUAAGCGGAGGA
rnacentral:misc_RNA from 1 species